rnacentral:rRNA from 1 species
AUUGAACGCUGGCGGCAUGCCUUACACAUGCAAGUCGAACGGUAGAGGGGCAACCCUUGAGAGUGGCGCACGGGUGAGUAGCGUAACGGAACAUGCCCGAUCGUGGGGGAUAACGUAGCGAAAGUUACGCUAAUACCGCAUACGAUCUGAGGAUGAAAGCGGGGGACCGAAGGGCCUCGCGAGAUCGGAGUGGCCGAUAUCAGAUUAGGUAGUGGGUGGGGUAAAGGCCUACCAAGCCGACGAUCUGUAGCUGGUCUGAGAGGACGACCAGCCACACUGGGACUGAGACACGUCCCAGACUCCUACGGGAGGCAGCAGUGGGGAAUUUUGGACAAUGGGCGCAAGCAUGAUCCAGCAAUGCCGCGUGCAGGACGAAGGCCUUCGGGUUGUAAACUGCUUUUGUACGGAGCGAAAAGGUCUUCUCUAAUACAGGGGGCUGAUGACGGUGCCGUAAGAAUAAGCACCGGCUAACUACGUGCCAGCCGCCGCCGUAA